rnacentral:rRNA from 1 species
GAUGAACGCUGGCGGCGUGCCUAAUACAUGCAAGUCGAGCGAACAGACGAGGAGCUUGCUCCUCUGACGUUAGCGGCGGACGGGUGAGUAACACGUGGAUAACCUACCUAUAAGACUGGGAUAACUUCGGGAAACCGGAGCUAAUACCGGAUAAUAUAUUGAACCGCAUGGUUCAAUAGUGAAAGACGGUUUUGCUGUCACUUAUAGAUGGAUCCGCGCCGCAUUAGCUAGUUGGUAAGGUAACGGCUUACCAAGGCGACGAUGCGUAGCCGACCUGAGAGAGUGAUCGGCCACACUGGAACUGUGACACGGUCCAGCAUCCUACGAGAGGCAGCAGUAGGGGAUCUUCCGCCAUGGGCGAAGGCCUGACGGAGCGACGCCGCGUGAGUGAUGAAGGUCUUCGGAUCGUAACACUCUGUUAUUAGGGAAGAAAAAAUGUGUAAGUAACUAUGCACGUCUUGACGGUACCUAAUCAGAAAGCCACGGCUAACUACGUG